UACGGAGGGUGCAAGCGUUAAUCGGAAUUACUGGGCGUAAAGCGCGCGUAGGCGGUUAAUUAAGUCGGGUGUGAAAGCCCCGGGCUCAACCCGGGAACUGCAUCCGAAACUGGUUAACUAGAAUAUGGUAGAGGGAAGUGGAAUUCCACAUGUAGCGGUGAAAUGCAUAGAGAUGUGGAGGAACACCAAUGGCGAAGGCAACUUCCUGGACCAAUAUUGACGCUGAGGUGCGAAAGCGUGGGGAGCGAACAGG
rnacentral:rRNA from 1 species